rnacentral:lncRNA from 1 species
CAUCUUGUGUUGUUGAUUUUUCAGGAUUCGACCCUCGAUUCUAUGAUUCAGAUGAAGUAGUUUCGGCAUGUCAUUAUGGUGAUGUUUAGUGUUGCUGCUCCAAAUGAGUUUGAGUUGUCGUCUACGACACUAGUUGUUUUUUGGAUCAAUGAUGACAUAUCCAUCAUUACGGUACAAAUCAAUUUAAAUUUGUGGCAUAACUUUGAAUCUUUCAUUUUCAUGACAGUACUGGACAUAUUUGGGAUAGGUUGUGUUUGGGGUAAUUUUU